rnacentral:rRNA from 1 species
UACGUAGGUGACCAGCCUUGUCCGGAUUUACUGGGCGUAAAGAGCGCGCAGGCGGUCGUUCAAGUCGAGUGUGAAAGCCCCCGGCUCAACUGGGGAGGGUCACUCGAUACUGAUCGACUUGAAGGCAGGAGAGGGAAGCGGAAUUCCCGGUGUAGUGGUGAAAUGCGUAGAUAUCGGGAGGAACACCAGUGGCGAAGGCGACUUCCUGGCCUGUUCUUGACGCUGAGGCGCGAAAGCUAGGGGAGCAAACGGG